rnacentral:rRNA from 1 species
UACAGAGGGGGCGAGCGUUGUUCGGAAUUACUGGGCGUAAAGGGCGCGUAGGCGGCCUUCUAAGUCGAACGUGAAAUCCCCGGGCUCAACCCGGGAACUGCGUCCGAUACUGGGAGGCUUGAAUCCGGGAGAGGGAUGUGGAAUUCCAGGUGUAGCGGUGAAAUGCGUAGAUAUCAGGAGGAACACCGGUGGCGAAGGCGGAUUCCUGGACCAGUUCUGACACUGAGGAGCGAAAGCUAGGGGAGCAAACAGG